CAGAUACCUGGGCUAACAUGUCAGAGUUAGUUCUAUAUUUUGGAUCAAGAUCAGUACUUGGGUCACUUAGCAUGGCCAGAGCAAGCAUUGUCAGAACUGGGCCAUGGAUACUGGCUGUCUGUGUGAUACUGAGUCUGCAGGGGACAGGUGAGCAAUUAGGAAAUGGCAUCUGUCUGUCUGUCUCUCUCUCUCUGUCUCUCUGUCUGUCUGCCUCUCUCUCUCUGUCUGAUCUAUCUGUCUGUCUGUCUCUGUGUAUUUCUUUCUAUAUGUCUGUCUCUGUCUAUCGCUGUGUGUUUCUUUCUAUCUGUCUGUCUUUCUAUCUUUCUGUCUGUCUUUCUGUCUCUGUCUGUCUGUCUUCAUUUCUAUCGAAAUCUCUUUUUCUGUCCACCAGUUUUUGUCUGUUGCUCUUCUCCAAUUGAUGUGACAUCUACAGGCUGUGGUGGCUACUGGUGAAGAAUGUAUCAGUGCUUUGGGCUAUGCUUAUCAGUAAGAUGUAAUUAUCUAGUCUCUGCACCACAUGGAGUGGUACACCUAUAGGGAGCAGAGGCGUACCUAGGGUCUCCAGUAUCCCCCCCCCCCUUUAAUCAUGAAAAAAUAUGUAUUUUUAUUUUUAGUGCAAUCUCAAUCAUAUUAAUUGUCUGUAUUUCUAUAGUGAGCAUAGUACUCAAAUGAGAUUUAGGCUUGUAAGUACGUAGUGGAGAAUCAUGAUGCAGCAUAAUAACAUAGAACUUACCCAAUUACCACCGAAAUCAUGACAGACAAUGUAGUAUGGAUAAAACAGGCCACAGCAUGUAUUAUAACAUAUGAUAAAUACUGUAUAACACAUCCAUAAUUUAUUCAAUAUUAUUCUUUACUUGAUAUAAACUUAACAAUAAGUUAACACACAGUUUCAUACAGAAUAACCCAACCGUCCUUGCCAAUAAACUGUCCAUGUGCCUAUGUACCACUUCUUCUCACCUCCCUCCUCGGGAUAAAUUCCUUUCCCUUCCAAUGCUUACCACCAGCUGACCUUUUCCUCGCUCGGUAGGCACGUCAUAACAGGUAACCUAAGGUAACCUUUAGAGCAGGGGAGGUUGAGACCUGAAACUUGACCAUAUCAUUCCACAUAUUGACAUAGCCCCCCCAAACUGAAUUAGCAAGGUCACACCCACGGCUUGCUGCGACUAAGUAUACCAAUCGGGCGGGCGGGUGGGAGGGAAGCUGUUUGCUGACCUGAAUCCCAAGUGGCACUGAGGUAAGACCACCCCCAACCAAACUCACACACCACAUAAUCCCACCCACACAUACAUACCCAACCAUAUUUUGACUUGUGAGAUGGUGUUGAUGUGCCAGAGGAAUGCUUUUCACCAUAUUGCAAGGAUAGUACAAGCACAUCACACCUUAUCACAAGCACAACACAGGCAAUUACACCUUAUUGCAAGCACAACAUUGAUAAUUCGCACCUUUUUACAAGCAUAACACUGGGACAUCACACCAUAUCAGUGUCGGCCUGGGGAUACAGCCAGCCCCGGAAAAUGCACAGCUCACAAAUGGCCGGCCGGGAUUAUUAUAAAAAAAAAAAAAAAAAAAAAUUUGCAGCGGGGGCGGAGCUUACUGUGAGAUGGAGGCGGAGCUAAACUGAUGGCAGGGUGGAGCUAAACGUGCCGGUUAACUGCUGUAGGGAAAGCAGGAAGUUUCUGCAGUGCCUUCACUCCUCCACAAUGAGCAGAGGUAACUGUAUGAACGUCUGCCUGUGUCUGCCUGUGUGUGUGUGUGUGUGUGUGUGUGUGUGUGUAUGACAGCCUGCCUGUGUGUGUAUGACUGCCUGUGUGUAUGAUUGUCUGUCUGUCUGUGUGUGUGUAUGACAGCAUGUCUGUGUGUGUGUGACAGUCUGCCUGUGUGUGUGUAUGACAGCCUGCCUGUGUGUAUGAUUGGCUGUCUGUGUGUGUGUAUGACAGUCUGCCUGUUUUUGUGUGUGACUGUCUGUCUGAAUCUGUGUGUGUGUGUCAUUGUCUGCCUGAGUCUGUGUGUGUGUGUGUGUGUGUGUGUGUGUAUGACAGUCUGCCUGUGCCAGUGUGUGUGACUGUCUGCAUGUGUGUGUGUGUAUGGUUGUCUGCCUGCGUGUGUGUGACAGUCUGCGCGUGUGUGUGUAUGACAGCCUGCCCGUGUGUGUAUGACUGUCUGCCAGUUUGUGUGUAUAUGACUGCCUGUGUGUGUAUGAUUGUCUGUGUGUGUGUGUAUAACAGUCUGCCUGUGUCUGUGUGAGACUGUCUGCCUGAGUCUGUGUGUGUGACUGUCUGCCUGAGUCUGUGUGUGUGGCUGUCUGCCUCUGUGUGGUUGUCUGCCUCUGUGUGACUGUCUGCCUUUGUGUGGCUGUCUGCCUGUGUGUGUAUGUGUGGCUGUCUGCCUGUGUGUGUGUGUGACUGCCUGCCUCUGUGUGUGUGUAUGGCAGUCUGCUUCUGUGUGUUUGUGUGUGACUGUCUGCCGGUGUGUAUGUGACUGUCUGCCUGUGUGCGACUGUUUGCCUGUGUGUGUGACUGCUUGCCUGUGUGUGUGGAUGUCUUCCUGUGUGUGUAUGGUCAUCUGCCUCUUAGGGCCACCUGAUGGGCUCUAUAUCUUCAGGGGCAUGGUCAGCGCUGUGGCUGUGUAAAAGGCAAAGGGACCCCUUUAAAAAAAUAAAUGGAGGAAGUGCGAGAACGACGCCUAGCAAAUGAACGAACUAGGCAAGGAACGUGUACAUCUUAAGCAUCCACCCACGACCUCUAGAAACACGAGAGUCCAAAAUAGAUUUCACUUCGUACUCGUUUUGGCCUUCUACGAGUGUUGAAGGAGGUCUUGUGGGUCUUCGAGUAUAACGAUUACAAAUCAAAGGUUUAAGGAGAGAAACAUGAAAGGAAUUGGGUAUCUUCAUAUUCGCUGGCAAAUCCAGUGUAGUCAUCGCUUGGCACAGUAGUGGAUGAAAAGAAACUCGGAAGAGUAAUAGGGUCAAAGCCAUAAUUUAUAUAAAAGGGACUAUGUUGCGUAGAUUCGUGAACUAUGAUAUUGUGGGCAAAUUCAGCCCAAGGAAGUAACUCCAUCCAAUCAUCUUGGUGAUCGGAGGUGAAGCAGCGAAUGUAUUGUUUGAGUGAUUGAUUCAUCCUUUCUGUAAUCCCGUUAGAUUGAUGAUACAAAAAAGAGAGAUUACGUUUGAUACCUAAUUGAUUACAAAAUGCUUUCCAGAAACUGGAAAUAAAUUGUGGACCUCUGUCUGAAACUAUAUCCACGGAUAUACCGUGUAAAUGAACCCUUAUAAACACCGUGGCCAAUUCGGAGGACGAAGGCAAUUUAAUUAAAGGGACAAGAUGGGUCAUCUUGGAAAAUCUGUCUAUGAUAGUCAGGAUUACCCAGUGAUUUUUGGAAAGUGGUAGGUCCACUAUGAAAUCCAUGGCGAUACUAGACCAGGGCUUAUCGGGAAUAGGCAAUGGCAUGAGGAGGCCUAAAGGACGACCCUUAGGAGAUUUAUUAGAGGAACAGAUGUUACAGGCUAAAACAAAUUCUCGAACAUCCUUCUUGUAUGAUGGCCACCAGAAUAGUUUUUCGAGUAAAGAUUCAGUCUUAUGGAUACCGGGAUGACCGGCAACCUUAGAGUCAUGUACCAAGGACAGGAUUUGUCUCCUAUAAUUUAAAGGUACGUAUAAUUUUCCCUGAGGGAUAGUCAAGGAGUUGUGAUCCUGGCAUUUGGAUAAUACCUCCAUUAAACUAGAAGAGACUUUAUCAUGAACUGUGGCUACUAUGUGUGAGGUAGGGAUUAUGGAGGAUAAAUGGGUUACGGGAGGAGAUAGAUGUUCGUGCUGUCAGGAUAGGGCAUCCGCUUUGGUAUUCUUAGAUCCGGGUCUAUACGUCACAAUGUAGUUAAAGCGUGUUAAAAACAAAGACCAGCGAAUCUGCAAUUAUUUUCGCCUCUCCGAAAUAGGAAAGGUUUUUGUGGUCAGUAAGAAUGGUGAUCGGUUCAGGUGACCCCUCUUAUAUAUGACGCCAUUCCUUUAGCGCUAAAAUAAUAGCUAACAGUUUCCUAUCACCUAUCUACGUUCCGUUUCAGUCAGUUUUUUAGAGAAAAAAACACAGGGAUGUAGGGGUUGAUCAUUCGAGGAUCUCUGCGAAAGUACAGCCCCUAUCCCUGUCUCUGAGGCAUCUACCUCUAAUAGAAAGGGACCAAAGAUUAGGAUGUCUUAAUACUGGUGCUGAAGAAAAAGCUAUUUUUAAUUCCUCAAAGGCUUUCUUAACUUCGGGACUCCACACCAUAUGAUUCUUAUUCUUUUUUGUCAUGGCGGUAAUAGGAGCGGUAAUAGAGGAAAACCCUUUGAUACAUUUUCUAUAAUAAUUAGCAAAUCCCAGGAAACAUUGGAUGGUGUAACAGAACUAUGAUUAUGCCUAUACUUUUGCCUGUACUCAAUUAACAAUGCUGCUGGAUGUGUCAAACAGAAACCGAAUGGCUAGUUUUCGUGUAAAUAUUCCUACUGUAACAUACAGCCCAAAAUACCAAACAUCAGACCACCCAGGGGAACAGUUAAUUGAUAUUUUACCUCCCAGUGAUUGUGGAGCCGUUCGCAUGGUUCAUACGAAUCCCUUUGUGCUCAGGUUAGAUGGCUGCCAUUUCAGGACUUUACACGUGUUCGCGGCCAUCUUAAGCACGAACGGUGGUGUUGGCCUGUGAACGCAUGGAACUAAAAACGGAUACGCAAACAGGCGAACACCGCUGAGACCUCCAGGAGCUCGUAAGUUUGUGCUGGAACUACCGAACGACCGUCCGUUCGGUAGUUUUGUUUAAGCAUUCAUAGGGAUUCAGGCGAACACCCGGAUUCAGGCGAACACCCGGAUGACUGUGGAUGGCAAGGGGUUCGUGGGGUUUUUAUGCACGAACGGAGACCGACCGCAAGGCCAAAACUUAUGGAACUCUUUUUGGCUAGAAAACCUGUGCGGUCGGUCAAAACUUCAAAGAUCCAUAACUCCCGAACCCCUCAACCGAAUGGGCUGAAAUUUGGAUAUAUUGUUCCCCUGAGUGAGAGCUAUUAAGCGGUGCUGGAUUUAAAGGUGUACCCCCUGUUUUUGGGGUACAUCAAGAAUGUAGUUAAAAUUGUGUCUGUUUUAAUUGUGUUAUAUGUUAUCUGAGGAGAGGAGACGUGGGGGUUGAACCAUGUAUGUAAUUGGCUGUUGUGAUAAUUAUGUGGGUGUAGCCUUUCAGAGGCAAUAUUGCAUAAAAGGAGACCCCCUGUCAAUAAACAUCAGUUCUACUUGACCCUUCAAAACGUAGCCUCGUCUCGUUCUUGGAGGGGAUUUAUGGUACCGUUAUUCUGCCUCAUUUUACAGCACUCCUGGAUUAUACACUUGGAUAUCGUGGACGGGAAUAAGAACUCCAUUACUGCACAGCAGCUUGCCUAGAAAAGGAC